GCACUGCUGAGGAUCUUCAGAAGGUGUCUGCUGAUCUCAGGUCAUCCAUCUGGAAACAGAUGUCUGCCGCUGGGACUAAGUUCAUCCCUAGCAACACCUUUGCUCACUACGACCAGGUUCUUGACACCACCGCCAUGCUCGGUGCUGUUCCACCUAGGUAUGGAUACACUGGUGGUGAGAUCGGCCUUGAUGUUUACUUCUCCAUGGCUAGAGGAAAUGCCUCUGUGCCUGCCAUGGAAAUGACCAAGUGGUUCGACACCAACUAGUGAGUCUUCAUUGAUCUCUUGUGUUCUUUUUGUUGACAUUGGUCUUUUUGAGUUGUGGACUAAUUUGAUUAUGCUUUUGUUGAUGCAGCCAUUACAUCGUCCCUGAGUUGGGCCCUGAGGUUAACUUCUCUUACGCAUCCCACAAGGCGGUGAAUGAGUACAAGGAGGCCAAGGCUGUACGUAUCAUUCUUUACUAAUAUCCGUUUCUUAGGAAAUUACUGUUUGCUCGUCUAAUUAACUAUUAGAGAUCAUAGGCUUUAGUUUGAGGAUAUAGUGUUUAAGCUUAGAUUCAUUGAGUGGUGUUUCACUGAGGAUGCUAAUAUGCUAGGAAGGUCUCGGAUGCAUUGAAUAUAAAAACCGUUAGAAAAGUCAUCUGGCACUGGUUGUCUAAAGUAGUUUUUUUUUCUACGAAGUUCUGAUCUGGUUUACUUGAUGUUUAUGCAGCUUGGUGUUGACACCGUCCCUGUACUUGUUGGCCCAGUCUCUUACUUGCUGCUUUCCAAGGCUGCCAAGGGUGUUGACAAGUCAUUCGAACUUCUUUCUCUUCUCCCUAAGAUUCUCCCGAUCUACAAGUAAGAAAUCACUUUAUUGUUUUUCUUUAUUAUGCCAUCCGUAUCCUUGAUGUUAUCAAUGAUCCUCUGACAUACCACUGAUAUAAUGACUUUGAUUUGUGUACAGGGAAGUGAUUACCGAGCUUAAGGCUGCUGGUGCCACCUGGAUUCAGCUUGACGAGCCUGUCCUUGUUAUGGAUCUUGAGGGUCAGAAACUCCAGGCCUUUACUGGUGCCUAUGCUGAACUUGAAUCAACUCUUUCUGGUUUGAAUGUUCUUGUCGAGACCUACUUCGCUGAUAUCCCUGCUGAGGCAUACAAGACCCUAACCUCAUUGAAGGGUGUGACUGCCUUUGGAUUUGAUUUGGUUCGUGGCACCAAGACCCUUGAUUUGGUCAAGGCAGGUUUCCCUGAGGGAAAGUACCUCUUUGCUGGUGUUGUUGAUGGAAGGAACAUCUGGGCCAACGACUUUGCUGCGUCCCUAAGCACCUUGCAGGCACUUGAAGGCAUUGUUGGUAA
rnacentral:lncRNA from 1 species